GAUGAACGCUGGCGGCGUGCCUAAUACAUGCAAGUCGAGCGAACGGACGAGAAGCUUGCUUCUCUGAUGUUAGCGGCGGACGGGUGAGUAACACGUGGAUAACCUACCUAUCAGACUGGGAUAACUUCGGGAAACCGGCGCUAAUACCGGAUAAUAUUUUGAACCGCAUGGUUCAAAAGUGAAAGACGGUCUUGCUGUCACUUAUAGAUGGAUCCGCGCUGCAUUAGCUAGUUGGUAAGGUAACGGCUUACCAAGGCAACGAUGCAUAGCCGACCUGAGAGGGUGAUCGGCCACACUGGAACUGAGACACGGUCCAGGCUCCUACGGGAGGCAGCAGUAUGGAAUCUUCCGCAAUGGGCGAAAGCCUGACGGAGCAACGCCGCGUGAGUGAUGAAGGUCUUCGGAUCGUAAAACUCUGUUAUUAGGGAAGAACAUAUGUGUAAUGAACUGUGCACAUCUUGACGGUACCGAAUCAGAAAGCCACGGCUAACUACGUG
rnacentral:rRNA from 1 species